GGAAUAUUGGACAAUGGGGGGAACCCUGAUCCAGCCAUGCCGCGUGUGUGAAGAAGGCCUUAUGGUUGUAAAGCACUUUAAGCGAGGCGGAGGCUCCCGUAGCUAAUAUCUACGGAGAGUGGACGUUACUCGCAGAAUAAGCACCGGCUACCUCUGUGCCAGCAGCCGCGGUAAUACAGAGGGUGCGAGCGUUAAUCGGAUUUACUGUGCGUAAAGCGUGCGUAGGCUGCUUUUUAAGUCGGAUGUGAAAUCCCCGCGCUUAACUUGGGAAUUGCAUUCGAUACUGGGAAGCUAGAGUAUGGGAGAGGAUGGUAGAAUUCCAGGUGUAGCGGUGAAAUGCGUAGAGAUCUGGAGGAAUACCGAUGGCGAAGGCAGCCAUCUGGCCUAAUACUGACGCUGAGGUACGAAAGCAUGGGGAGCAA
rnacentral:rRNA from 1 species